UACGUAGGGGCUAGCGUUAUCCGGAAUUACUGGGCGUAAAGGGUGCGUAGGUGGUUUCUUAAGUCAGAGGUGAAAGGCUACGGCUCAACCGUAGUAAGCCUUUGAAACUGGGAAACUUGAGUGCAGGAGAGGAGAGUGGAAUUCCUAGUGUAGCGGUGAAAUGCGUAGAUAUUAGGAGGAACACCAGUUGCGAAGGCGGCUCUCUGGACUGUAACUGACACUGAGGCACGAAAGCGUGGGGAUCAAACAGGAUUAGAUACCCGCGUAGUCCCUGAG
rnacentral:rRNA from 1 species